GAUGAACGCUAGCUACAGGCUUAACACAUGCAAGUCGCGGGGCAGCAUGGGGUUUGCUUGCAACCCGUGAGGGCGACCGGCGCACGGGUGAGUAACGCGUAUCCAACCUGCCCUUCACCACGGGAUAACCCGGCGAAAUGCGGACUAAUACCGUAUGUUGUCCAUUGACGGCAUCCGAUUGGAAGGAAAGGCUGCGUGACGAAAGGAUGGGGAUGCGUAGUAUUAGCUUGAUGGUGGGGUAACGGCCCACCGUGGCGACGAUCGGUAGGGGUUCUGAGAGGAAGGUCCCCCAGACUGGAACUGAGACACGGCCCAGACUCCUACGGGCGGCAGCAGUGCGGCAUAUUGGUCAGUGGGCGUAAGCCUGAACCAGCCAAGUAGCGUGCAGGAUGACCGCACUAUGGGUCGUAAUCUGCUUUUAUGCGCGGAUAAAGUGGUCCACGUGUGGGCUUUUGAAGGUACCGCAUGAAUAAGGAACGGCUAAUUACGUG
rnacentral:rRNA from 1 species